CUCGGCUCGCCCUUGCUUUCCGAACACAACUUGGCUAGAUUUUCUGAAAAGCAUUUGAUGAUGGGUGAACAAGAAUGCCACUGUCAAACAUUCCCAAUGCUAGACGUCUUGAGAAGAACAAUCAACUUCAUCGUAGUCAGGCCCAUAUGAUGUAAUUUUCGUUGUCUUUUCCAGCGCAGCAAUUGAAUUACUUUGCUGAUCAAUAGGUUGGCUCUUAAUGGAGGGGGACUUGCCUAGACUGUCUGCCUCUCGUCAGUUGUCAUGCCCUCUACUCUCUGUUUGCUGACCCAAUCAUAGUAGCGCGUAAGCAUUUUGGAGACCAAUCUUUGAGCUAAGUUCACGAUUGUAUACCGUGGGAGACAUGAUCAAUCAAAGUCAGGAAAAAUAAUUUGAAGUUGUGCGUAUAUCACAAGAGGAUCAACUUCUUGGCUGUCUCUUUUGUGUAUUUCCUGAU